AUUGAACGCUGGCGGCAGGCCUAACACAUGCAAGUCGAGCGAGCGGCGGACGGGUGAGUAAUGUCUGGGAAACUGCCCGAUGGAGGGGGAUAACUACUGGAAACGGUAGAUAAUACCGCAUAUUAUCAGAUCUGCCCAGAUGGGGUUUGCUUGGGGGUGGGGUAACGGCUCACCUAGGCGACGAUCCCUAGCUGGUCUGAGAGGAUGAUCACGCACACUGGAACGGAGACACGGUCCAGACUCCUACGGGAGGCAGCAGUGGGGAAUAUUGCACAAUGGGCGCAAGCCUGAUGCAGCCAUGCCGCGUGUGUGAAGAAGGCCUUCGGGUUGUAAAGCCCUUUCAGCGGGGAGGCGUUACCCGCAGAAGAAGCACCGGCUAACUCCGUGCCAGCAGCCGCGGUAAUAC
rnacentral:rRNA from 1 species